UACGUAGGGUGCAAGCGUUAAUCGGAAUUACUGGGCGUAAAGCGUGCGCAGGCGGUUCGCUAAGACAGAUGUGAAAUCCCCGGGCUUAACCUGGGAACUGCAUUUGUGACUGGCGGCUAGAGUAUGGCAGAGGGGGGUAGAAUUCCACGUGUAGCAGUGAAAUGCGUAGAGAUGUGGAGGAAUACCGAUGGCGAAGGCAGCCCCCUGGGCCAAUACUGACGCUCAUGCACGAAAGCGUGGGGAGCAAACAGG
rnacentral:rRNA from 1 species